CUCAGAACAUCAACACACAACUGAUCUGACUUCAUAAACAUGAACACACAGCUGCUUCUCAUUUCAAUGAUCAUUUCAGGUGUGAUGGCUGCGGAUCAGAUUGGGCCAAAUAAAGGUGCAGAUAUUAAUGCUGGAGAGGGAGAGACUGUGACUCUGAGCUGCUCAUAUGAUACCAGCAGCAAUUAUGUUAGACUUUACUGGUACAGACAGCAUCCUAACAGAGAACCUCAGUAUUUAAUAUGGAAAGAGGCUCGCUCAUGGAGUGAUACUGGUACUUCCACUGAUCCUCGGGUUAAGUCGACUACAUCACGAACAUCCACUGAACUCAUUAUUACCGGUGUAACUCUGUCAGAUUCAGCUCUAUAUUACUGUGCUCUGAGGGUUGGAGCCCAGUGAUACAAAGUCUAUGUGAAGCUGUACAAAAACUAAAAUAUAUUUUUCUCUUUGAACCUAAACCACAUCAAACCCACA